rnacentral:rRNA from 1 species
UACGUAGGGGGCAAGCGUUGUCCGGAUUUACUGGGCGUAAAGAGCGUGUAGGCGGCUCAGCAGGUCCGUUGUGAAAACUCGAGGCUUAACCUCGAGAUGUCAUCGGAAACUAUUCGGCUAGAGUCCGGAAGAGGAGAGUGGAAUUCCUGGUGUAGCGGUGAAAUGCGCAGAUAUCAGGAAGAACACCUAUGGCGAAAGCAGCUCUCUGGGACGGUACUGACGCUGAGACGCGAAAGCGUGGGGAGCGAACAGG